CAUGUAGGCGGCUUAAUAAGUCGAGCGUGAAAAUGCGGGGCUCAACCCCGUAUGGCGCUGGAAACUGUUAGGCUUGAGUGCAGGAGAGGAAAGGGGAAUUCCCAGUGUAGCGGUGAAAUGCGUAGAUAUUGGGAGGAACACCAGUGGCGAAGGCGCCUUUCUGGACUGUGUCUGAUGCUGAGAUGCGAAAGCCAGGGUAGCGAAC
rnacentral:rRNA from 1 species